AGUGGCGGACGGGUGAGUAAUGCUUGGGAAUCUGCCUGUCAGUGGGGGACAACCCGGGGAAACCCGGGCUAAUACCGCAUACGCUCCAUGGAGGAAAGCGGGGGACCGAAAGGCCUCGCGCUGACAGAUGAGCCCAAGUCGGAUUAGCUAGUUGGUGGGGUAAAGGCCUACCAAGGCGACGAUCCGUAGCUGGUCUGAGAGGACGAUCAGCCACACUGGGACUGAGACACGGCCCAGACUCCUACGGGAGGCAGCAGUGGGGAAUAUUGGACAAUGGGCGAAAGCCUGAUCCAGCAAUGCCGCGUGUGUGAAGAAGGCCUGCGGGUUGUAAAGCACUUUUGGCAGGGAAGAAAAGCCCGGGAUUAACACUCACGGGUCUUGACGUAACCUGCAGAAAAAGCACCGGCUAACUCUGUGCCAGCAGCCGCGGUAAUACAGAGGGUGCAAGCGUUAAUCGGAAUUACUGGGCGUAAAGCGCGCGUAGGUGGUUUGGUAAGUCGGUUGUGAAAUCCCCGGGCUUAACCUGGGAAUUGCAGUCGAUACUGCCUGACUCGAGUGUGGAAGAGGGAAGCGGAAUUUCCGGUGUAGCGGUGAAAUGCGUAGAUAUCGGAAGGAACACCAGUGGCGAAGGCGGCUUCCUGGUCCAACACUGACACUGAGGCGCGAAAGCGUGGGUAGCGAACAGGAUUAGAUACCCUGGUAGUCCACGCCNUAAACGAUG
rnacentral:rRNA from 1 species